UGUAAUAGGAUGGUGUAAUGU
rnacentral:piRNA from 1 species